AUUGAACGCUGGCGGCAGGCCUAACACAUGCAAGUCGAACGGUAACAGGAAGCAGCUUGCUGCUUUGCUGACGAGUGGCGGACGGGUGAGUAAUGUCUGGGAAACUGCCUGAUGGAGGGGGAUAACUACUGGAAACGGUAGCUAAUACCGCAUAACGUCGCAAGACCAAAGAGGGGGACCUUCGGGCCUCUUGCCAUCGGAUGUGCCCAGAUGGGAUUAGCUAGUAGGUGGGGUAACGGCUCACCUAGGCGACGAUCCCUAGCCGGUCUGAGAGGAUGACCAGCCACACUGGAACUGAGAAACGGUCCAGACUCCUACGGGAGGCAGCAGUGGGAAUAUUGCACAAUGGGCGCAAGCCUGAUGCAGCCAUGCCGCGUGUAUGAAGAAGGCCUUCGGGUUGUAAAGUACUUUCAGCGGGGAGGAAGGUGUUGAGGUUAAUAACCUCAGCAAUUGACGUUACCCGCAGAAGAAGCACCGGCUAACUCCGUGCCAGCCGCCGCCGUAA
rnacentral:rRNA from 1 species